rnacentral:misc_RNA from 1 species
GUCUAGCGUGGCACAAGUGGGCGUGUCGACAGCGACUCGGACAAGACCAUGUCCACACAUGAGCAGUCACGGAUUGGUGUCCCGCGGACUCCUUGCCUCUCGCAAUCAACCACCGAAGAGGCCAUCCUUUUUAGUCAUGUGCAUUGCCUGUGCCAUCUACCCAGCACUGUAGGAAGUCAACGUACCCUAUGUGCUAGUUCGCCUCACCACCUCGAGCGGGAGGCACAACCACAAUGUGGCCGUCGCGCGCACCUUAACGACACAACCCUUGGGCCCCGUGCUAGCUGGGCUCCUGAAGUAUCACAAGCUCUUGCGAAUGUAGCAGGCUUCGGGGACUUCGACCCUCAGCCUAGACCUUGGUAGGUCAUUAAGCCACCCUCGUCGAGACAACGGUCUAUCCACCGACGGGCCCCCUCCKKUCCCUGCGGGCGGUCGGGCGCCUAAACAGCACCGGCAUCACAAA